GUUGUGUGUGUAGGCUGCGGCGCCAGAGGAGGAGGUGCACGAAGAUGCAGCUGCGACUGCGGCCCCCAGAGGGAGUCGCCUCUGUUCUAUGUCCGCGGGGGCUGAGGGACGGGAAUCAGGCCUAGGGGUCGCUUCACUGAGGAGACUGGGGGUGGCGGUCCCGCCAGAGGCUCGGGCCUACUACAAGGGGAAGGUCCCGGCUGCUGGACAAGGGCCUCCCCCUCCCCUUCCCUCCUCUCAUCCUUCCACGGCAAUAGUGGUGAAGUUGGCGGCUCCAGGGAGUCAAGGCACCAGGCUUCUCCCUUACAUCCAGCUCCUCUCUGGCCCUGUCUCUUGGACACCUGCGCAGCCACCUCCCUUGCCCGCCAAGCCCGGCCGCGGCGACGGGCGGGGGAGGGGCUCCUCCCCUGCUGGGGCUGCUUCGAACAGAGCUGGACGACGACGGUGACCUUAGGAGAUUAGGGGAGUGUCAUCUCCAUGCUGGUAAUGGAUUCUAAUCUAUAGGAAAAGCAAACGGGGAAGUAUUGGAGUUUCGUUAUUGGACAUCACAGUACUGAUACUGAAUUCAAGCUGCAAGAGGUGCUCAUGGAACCUGAGGGGAGAAAAUAUACCUUAGGCACAUGAGGGACCUGAACUAGGAUGAAAAGCUGGGUGAAGCCAAGAAUUGAGAGUGUUCUCCUGAUUGCAUUGUGCUGAGUUUGGCAGAGACCAUGGCAAAAUUCCAAUGAUACGUAAAAAUGCUAGACACUUUGUUAUGGCUCC